GCCCCUCCGGCGGCCCCGCGUCCCCGAGGCCCGCGGGCAUCACCUGAAAGGAAUGCGGGAUGGGGGGAGGGCGAUAAGCGGCCGCCUUUGUCUGGUUUCCUGUUUGCCCGGACGUCCAGAGCCGGCUCCCCUGGCCCGCCCACCGGUCCUCAAGGAGUCAGGGCCGGCCGGUGGCCUUGGGACGAGGCCGAGCGGUGAUCCCCAGGACAGCGCGGGGGCGGCACCCUCAGGACGUGCUCCUUGGAAAAACCCAGUUCAGGGGCCGCUCGGCCUGGGAGAGGCUGGAAUUUUCUACCAGGAUCUUUGGCGGAAGCACAGAGGGCGGGGAAGGGAGGGGAACAGGGGCGCGGCCGGUCCGGAGGCUUCUGCUCGACUCCGCCCUGCGCACCCCAUUCCGAGCCUUGUGGGCCGAGCCCCUCCUUAGCCUGCUCCUCUGCUGGACGGUGGAGUCUGAGGAUGGAGGAUGGGGAGGCUCAGCAGGUGCAGCCCUAAUCGCUCCUAGCCACAUUUCUGCCUCAGUCCCCUGUUGUGUGGCUGGUGCCAGCACCUUGCCUUCUCUGUGCCAACCAUACAAAUUUUAAGACAAACCUGGGUUUGAAUCCUGGUCUGAACCACACUGGCUCUGUGUGGUAUUGGAUAGAAUUGCCCAUCCUUAAUGUGUUGGUGGGAGGAUUAAAUGACAAAGCAGGCUAACGUUUAGCUCAGUGCUUGGAACUUAAGGGCUCAAUAGAUAAUAACAGGUAUGAUCAUCUUAAGAGGUUGAGUGUGAUCCUGUAAUAGAAGUUUUUCAUAAUCAGUUAAGCACUUAUUAAUGCUUGACCACAAAUUUCUGACAACAUAUUAAUCUGAAUACAUCAAUUAUCUCAUUUAAGCCUUUUUAAACCCUGAAAUUUCUUUGUUUUGCGCAUAAGGGAACAAAAGUUUAGAGAAAGUCAUAGUAAGUGGUUGAGACAAUAUUCAAACCCCAGGCCUUUAAAUCCUCAGAAUCAUCAGCUCUACUAAUGGUAGUGUUAGUCCAGUGCUGCGUCCCAAGCCCUUACCCUGCCUAACAAAGUUGUGUGCAUCUUUUAAAACAAACUCAGUGGUCUCACCUGUGGAAAACCACCUUUGGCACCCAUCUUCUGCACCCCAGCGACCCUGGAACACAUGCCUGGCACAGGAAGCGCCUGCUGGCAGCUUCUCCCACAAAGGGAUAGGCCUCUGUCUUUCCUCGCUACCUAAUAAUCCACUUGGGCAUUCAUUCUGCUCUCCUGUGGGGCUCUGCAGGGUCCCAGGGCACCUGACUCUAGUCUUCCAGGGGCUGCUAACCUACUUCAUCACCUCCGGAGCACUGAUGCCUCCCGUCUUGUGACAUCUUGCCAAGCCCCAUUGCCCUGGGGCCCAUCACGGGAAAGGAAUUCAUGGCUACUCGGCCUGCAGCGCUUCAUUCAUGGUGGCUCACUGGAUCCUGCCCGUACCCCGUUUGCCUCUGUGUCUCUAUCUCUCCUGCCUUUCUCUCUAGGUUUUUCUGCCACCAGGAAGGGAAUGUGACGGGUGGUGACUCUUGAGCCUUCAGGCCACAGCUGUUGCCUGGAAGUCUUCUGAUGAGCCUGGUUCUGGUCAGGUGUCAAGCCCUGGGCCGUCACCUAUGAGGACAGGAUGUUCCUGGCUCAUAAUGUCCUCUCCAAAGUACAUCAUGCUCCAAGAUAGGCCAUAGAAGCCAGAAGUUCUUUGAAGAGAGUCACAGAACCCUGAUCUUCUUCCCCUGCCCUUCUGCCCUGGGCCAUCCUGGAAGAAAUCCUCUCACCUUUUCUUGUCUGAUUGUAUCUGGGGAGCAGGACUGGGCUGCACUCCUGUGCUCUCAGGAUGGAGAGGGACAACAAGGCCCUUGGCUGGAAGAAUGGAGAUGAGCGAACGAGACAGAGAUCAGCAGGAGGAGCCGAAACCUGGGCAGCAGUGCCUCCUGGUGGCAGGAUCUGAGCUGAGCACCUACUGUUUCCUUCGUGUUCCAGGAGGCUACAUGCUGACCAGCGCUGGGAACAGGCCCAUGAAGGACAAACUGUAGCCCCUCCCUGCACCAGUUUUAAGUGGACUCGCAAGCAGAGCCUCAGCAGGUCUUUCAGAUGGUUGCAGCCCUGACAACAGCAUGACUGCAACCUCCGAAAGUCUAAGCCACCAUCUGGAAGGUGUAGCUUCUGGGUUUCCAGCCCUAAGACAUUGUGAGAUAAUAGAUGUUUGUUGUUUUGAGCUAUUUGGAUUUGAGGUGAUUCGUUACCCUGUAAUAGCUAACUAUAUUCAUAAUAUACACAGUAAAUGGGAAACACAAAAUAAGAUUGCAGAAAUAAAUUUUAAAAUGCUCAUGUCCCAAAAAAGGAAACAGACCCAUUUUACCAGUCAACAGAUCAUGAGGGUGAAUGAAAAACCCAAAAUUCUGCUCUGUGCUGUUCAUGAGACACUUGACACCUGAAACAAAAAAUGAACAUAUUGAAAGCAAAGACAGGAAAAUGAUCCCUCAGAUCUGACCGUACUAUCACUGCUUGACCAAUGGUGAGUUCUGAAUCUUUUGGACCCAGUUGCCAGAUCCUGAUUUUUUCCAGGCAGGAGACAGAAAUCUGUUGAUCCCAACAGAGGUGUCUUCAUCCCAGAACCAAGUUAUUAUUCACAGUGUAAAAGUACCAGCCCCAAAGGGUGGAAAUGAUUUGGACUAAGCCAAUUUCAUUUCUUUUAGUCAGUGGUUAGGGAAAAGAUGUUCGUGACACCCAGUUCUGGAAAAUAAGAUAUAAGGAAAUAUCUGGGAAGGGUUUCCUUCCUUUUCCUUCCCUCCUUGGUUCACGGACACAGUGCCUGAUGGUAGAGCAGGCUUUGCAUCCUGACAACAGAUGUGAGCAGGAAGACCCUCAAGUGAAUCUGAUGAAAAGGGAUAACUAUAGUUAACAGGCAAACAUCCUUAGAUAGUCAAGGGCCUGGGGGGCAUAGCUCUGCAGCCGAGGGCUUACUGAGCUCUUGUGAGGUCCUGCGCUCCAUCUCCAGCAUAGCAACAGUAAGAGAGAAAGAAAUAAAAAAGAGUCUGAAACAAGAGAACCAUUUGGACCUUGGCUUACAGGACAUCCAGCAAUGCAAAGGGCCCAUCAGAAGAUGUCCCUCAAGUGCGCUGUCUCUCAUUGUUUUAAUGAUUUGUUGAAGAAUCUUAGAUUUCUACAUAAGCUAUAAGAUAACCCAUUUGUUUUUCCUUUUUAAUAGUUUACUUACUCACUUUAAUUUUUCUGAUUUCACAGGCUAGUAAAUCCAGUCAUUUGAAGAGAAGACCAUGACAAUGAAUAUACAUUUGUUUUUC